rnacentral:rRNA from 1 species
GCCUGAUCUAGCCAUGCCGCGUGAGUGAAGAAGGUCUUAGGAUCGUAAAGCUCUUUCGCCAGGGAUGAUAAUGACAGUACCUGGUAAAGAAACCCCGGCUAACUCCGUGCCAGCAGCCGCGGUAAUACGGAGGGGGUUAGCGUUGUUCGGAAUUACUGGGCGUAAAGCGCGCGUAGGCGGAUUAGCAAGUUGGGGGUGAAAUCCCGGGGCUCAACCCCGGAACUGCCUCCAAAACUGCUAGUCUUGAGUUCGAGAGAGGUGAGUAGAAUUCCAAGUGUAGAGGUGAAAUUCGUAGAUAUUUGGAGGAAUACCAGUGGCGAAGGCGGCUCACUGGCUCGAUACUGACGCUGAGGUGCGAAAGUGUGGGGAGCAAACAGGAUUAGAUACCCUGGUAGUCCACACCGUAAACGAUGAAUGCCAGUCGUCGGGCAGUAUACUGUUCGGUGACACACCUAACGGAUUAAGCAUUCCGCCUGGGGAGU